AACCUCUGAUGAAGACAAGAAGGGUGGAGCGGGCCACUCAGCCACCAUAUCAUGCCAGGGGACCCUGGCACCUCCCACAUUUGUCUCCUUUCUCCACCCAGGAAGCUAAGCAACCAUUCCUGCUGGACUUGUCAGACCUGGGACAAUGCAAGCUGUGGAUCUCUGUGUAGUGUCCUCUCUGGAGUGUGACCAUCACCAUGGGCCUCUCGUGGGCUCUGCUGCCCUUCCUACUCCUGGCCUUCAGAGCUGAGCUCCUUGCCCUCCAGCCAGCUUUGGGCUCUCAGCCACCCUCUGCCUCCUCCUCACACUCCAUGGGCUCCUCUCGGGACUUUGUUUCAAACGUCUCCUCCAGCCAGCACCCCCAGCCGCCAGGUUCAGAAGCCUCUGCUGGAAUCCCUGAUUCCAACCGGUUUCCUCAGGGGCUGAAUUCAAGCCAUGUGCCUGGAUUAUUCAGGACCAAUGUUUCCGCUGAGGAACAGUAUCUCAGCCCUGAUGUCACCUCCUCUGAAACCCCUCCUUCCAGAGUGUCUCUUGAUGGUUUAGAUUCUCAAGAUCCUGACAAAGACUCUGGGCUUCCCUUCCUCGUCAAGACUCCAGCUUCACAAAUAUCAGUUCAAACUCCAGACACCAAAGUACCUACCAAGGCCUCAGGUUCAAAGCUAUCCCUGGAGCAUCACAACCUUGAACCUGGAUCCAAAAUUUCUUCAGAGAUUUACCAAGCUGCAAGCUUUCCUCAGCAAGUGGGGGGACCCCUGGCUGUGCUAGUGGGAACCACCAUCAGGCUCCCCUUGACCCCGGUCCCCAGCUCCAGUCCCCCUGCUCCUCUGGUGGUCUGGCGCCGGGGUUCCAAGGUAUUGGCAGCUGGGGGUCUGGGGUCACAGGCUCCACUAAUUAGUCUGGACCCCAUGCAUCAAGCCCGCCUGAGAUUUGACCAGAUUCGAGGGGGUCUGGAACUCACCUCUGCCCGGCUGGAUGAUGCAGGGGUGUACACAGUUGAGGUCAUCAGGGGAGGAGUCUCCCAGCAGAUUCGAGAGUUUGUGGUGGGUGUAUUUGAGCCCUUGCCCCAGUUGUCAGUACAGCCCAGGGCGCCAGAGACAGAAGAAGGAGCAGCCGAGCUGCGGCUAAGCUGCGUGGGGUGGAACCCAGGUAGCGGGAAGCUGAGCUGGAGUAGAGACGGACGAGCCCUGGGCACCUCAGACCCUGAAGGCGCAGAGCCACCUCGCAUCCGCACAGAACGGGACCAGCUGCUCAUCUCACGUCCGGUACGCAGCGACCACGCCCGGUACACUUGCCAGGUCCGAAGCCCCUUUGGCCACACCGAAGCUGCAGCUGACGUCAGUGUUUUCUACGGCCCGGACGCUCCUGUCAUUAGGGUCUCCUCGGACCGGGAUGCCAGUCCUGCGCUCUACGUCACUGCGGGCAGCAAUGUGACCUUGCAUUGCUCGGCCCCCUCGCGGCCGCCCGCGGACAUCGCGUGGAGUCUGGCAGACCCCACAGAGGCCGCAGUGCCUGCGGGGCCUCGCCUCCUGCUGCCCGCUGUGGGGCCAGGCCAUGGCGGCGCUUACGCCUGCAUCGCCGCGAACCCUCGCACUGGCCACCGCCGGCGUUCAGUGUUCAACCUCACUGUGGCGGAUCUGCCCCCCGGAGCCCCACAAUGCUCAGUUGAAGGAGGUCCUGUGGACCGCAGCCUCCGCUUUCGCUGCUCCUGGCCUGGCGGGGUCCCUGCCGCCUCCCUGCAGUUCCAGGGUCUUCCCGAAGGCGUCCGAGCGGGACCGGUGCCAUCUACGCUCCUGGUGACUGUCCCCGCCCGCCCGGAGCUCAGCGGCGUCGCCGUCACCUGCCUGGCCCGCCACCUGGUGGCCACACGUACAUGCACGAUCAUCCCGGAAGCCCCCCAGGAAGUGCUGCUCCAGCCCAUAGUAGAGGAGACACAGCCAGGGGAUGUGGUGGUGGCACUGGAGGUCACCGGCUGUCCCCCACCCUCAAGAGCAUCCUGGGCUCGGCAAGGACGGCCCCUGGCUCCAGGUGGUGGGGGCCGACUACAGCUUAGCCAGGAUGGCCGAAAGCUCCUCAUCAACAACUUCAGCCUGGAUUGGGACCUGGGGAAUUAUUCUGUGCUGUGCAGCAGCGCACUGGGUGCUGGGGGCAACCAGAUCACCCUCACAGGCAUGGACAGAUAGCUCUGAAGUGGACAGAGUCACCAUGAGUAGAGACUGGGUCUCCCUGCUCAUUCUGGGCCCUCAGGAGCGAUCAGCCAUAGUGCCACUCCCUCCUCGGAACCCUGGGACCUGGGCUUUUCGCAUCUUGCCCAUCUUGGGGUCUCUGCCAGGGACCCCAUCCCAAAGCCGAGUCUACCAGGCAGGCUCUGACCUGAGUCCAGGGGCCAUCGCUGGCAUCGUCCUUGGCUCCCUAUUGGGCUUGGCGCUGCUGGCUGGCCUUCUCAUCCUAUGUAUCUGCUGCCUGAGGCGUUACCCAGGAAGGGCUUCUGUGAAGAAGCAGCACUCGCUGACCUUGGCUCCCGUGCUCACCCCACCAGCAAAAAAGAUACAGAGUUUGACCCCAGUGCAGACCCCACGGCCCCUUCCCAUCAAAACCAAGAUGCAGAGCCCUCACCCAGCCAAGGCCCAACAAGUCAUCAGCCCCAGUCCAACUCUCUGUCCAGGUGGCAGCCCAUGGACUGUUCGGGCAGCCACCCAGGUGUGACAAAAGCCAGUGGCCCACUCUCCAUGAAGUGUUCGGAGUACAACAUCCUGCUUUGGUCCAGCAGCAUGGAGCUUCGUAUGCCUGAGGACUGGACCCUAAGAGUGAGGCUUCCUGUCUCCCACUUGUCUCAGAAGACACAGACUGUCCUUUUGCAUCUGAGGGCACCAAUGUGACUCUGGGACUAGGAGAGCCACCUGCAGACGGAUGAAUGUGGUUGGCACAAACUCAGAAGCCUCAUGUAGGGCUUUCAGCUCCAAGCUGGAAGGGGAGCCUGGCCACAGUGUCUGCAAAGGUUGCUACCUUCUCCUGCCCCAGGCCACGUCCCCUCAGCCUCCAGAGACUCUCAUCCAUCAUCUAACACAUCAGUGUCCCAUACCCGGCUCCCUCCCCAUCUCUUGAUUUCCUUUUUUGCUGUUUUAUUUGACUCGGAAUCGCAUGUAGCCCAGGCUAGCUUUAGACUCCCUAGAUAGCCCAGACUGGCCCUGAACCCGUGUCUCUCCUGACCCAGUCCCACAAGUGCUGGAAUUCAGGCAAGACCCACCUCACCCACUGCUUUCUGUUUCUUUCUUUCCUCCUGCUUGUUUGUUUGUUUGUUUGUUUGUUUGUUUGUUUUGGGAAAAGGAUCCCAUAACACAGACCUUGCUGUGUUCACUGUUACAGACAAUUUUCAGUCUCCUGCCUCAGCUUCCUGGGAGCUGAGAUGACAGCCAUGUACACCAUGACUACUCACUGUCCCCUCUAAAUUUUUCUGUGGGCUGUACAUAGUGUUUCAACAUCCUUCAGUCGGUGCGUUUUAACCCUUGGGCCUGUGGUUUGGCCUCUGUCAACCCCUGUGACUUCUCUUCCAUAAGCCUUCUGCCAACCACACACACAUACCCUCCAGCUAUUUGUCCCUAGAGUUUGCUCUGCCUGGACACUUCUCUUUCCCAUGUCAUUGAUUUAUCAAGGCUUGAAGUAGCCAUUACCACAUUAGACGGACUUCCCCCUCUCCCCAGCUUCCUCUCAUCCCAUGAGUGUGUAACGAUGGAUAUCGAUAACUUUCCCUCUCUGAACUGAGAGCUCAGUGAGGCGCACACCACACAUAUACCAGCAGAAACAUAGCCUGGCAUAUAGCAGGCACUCAAUAAAUACUCGUGGACUGAUGAAA